rnacentral:rRNA from 1 species
CCUACGGGAGGCAGCAGUGGGGAAUUUUGGACAAUGGGCGAAAGCCUGAUCCAGCAAUGCCGCGUGUGGGAAGAAGGCCUUCGGGUUGUAAACCACUUUUGUACGGAACGAAACGGUUCGCUUUAAUACAGUGGGCUAAUGACGGUACCGUAAGAAUAAGCACCGGCUAACUACGUGCCAGCAGCCGCGGUAAUACGUAGGGUGCGAGCGUUAAUCGGAAUUACUGGGCGUAAAGCGUGCGCAGGCGGUUAUAUAAGACAGUUGUGAAAUCCCCGGGCUCAACCUGGGAAUUGCAUCUGUGACUGUAUAGCUAGAGUACGGUAGAGGGGGAUGGAAUUCCGCGUGUAGCAGUGAAAUGCGUAGAUAUGCGGAGGAACACCGAUGGCGAAGGCAAUCCCCUGGACCCGUACUGACGCUCAUGCACGAAAGCGUGGGGAGCAAACAGGAUUAGAUACCCUGGUAGUCCACGCCCUAAACGAUGUCAACUGGUUGUUGGGUGCAUUAGUACUCAGUAACGAAGCUAACGCGUGAAGUUGACCGCCUGGGGAGUACGGCCGCAAGGUUGAAACUCAAAUGAAUUGACGG